rnacentral:piRNA from 1 species
UGCCAGAUUUAAACCCACUGGGCCUUCCGCAU